CAUUCUUCUUUAAUCAUUUUAAAUUGUUGAAUUUCAGAUUUUAGUGAUAAACGUGAAUAACACUGAAAUUCUGUAAUAUCGAGAAUGUAGAGUAAUCUAGUAUUAUUCCAAAAUUUGUAGUAAUUACUCUUUCUAAUCCUUUACGAACAAGUUAUGCUUUCUCUUAAUCUUAGAGAAAAUGUAUAGAAAUAUUAAUCAGAAGAUGAUUCAUUUGAAGCUCAAUUUCUUUCAAAAGCAUUUACAUUUUCUUUCUUUUAGAGUCAUUUGAGUGAACUGAAAUAUUUCUAGUUUUAAGAUCAUUCACUCUAUUGAUGGAAGUCUUUAAUAAUGUAGGAGAGAAAAACAUAUAGAUGAUCAUUGAAGUAUAUCUAUUUAUAGAACUCAAUUUCUUAAUUAUAGUUUUUCUGCAAUGGAUACAUGAAGCAUAAUAAAUCUUUUUAAUAUCAAAAUAAACUCAUAUAUUUAAAAAUAUUUGUUUGCAAUUAAGAUCAUUGAAAGACACAUCAUUUAGACCAAUAUUAGUAUACUUUGAAGAUAAGAAAUGAUAUGUUUCGGAUGCGUAUCGGAGCAAUCAACCAAGGCAUCA
rnacentral:lncRNA from 1 species